UUAGCUGAAUUACUCAUCGUUACUUUAAUCGUGACUGAAGUCUUUUACCUAGACAAACACACACAGGGAGGUGUGAGGAGAGCAGGAUCAUAUCAGACCACGAAAGGAUGCAAGCACUCAGGGCUGAGCCAAAGCCUGAAACCCGCGAGCUAGCGUGGGCUCCUCAGCUCCAACUCCCAGAAGGAAUGUGGCUAAUCAGCCACCACAGAGGACAAAAAAGGAGUGAGAGAGGGCAGGUGGACAAGAGAGAAAAAUGACAGACCGAUCAUUACAGAGCGUGGGCAUUCUCCUUUCGGAACUCGUUCAAUUAACUGCAAAAGGUGAAGGCCAGCUCUCCAAUUACUGCAUGAACUGCAUGGAACUGAGGAAGCCAAGAGCAUGGUUUUGUCACAUCAAGACCAGCACCAACUGGGAGAAGAUUGGUUCCAAGGAAACCAGGAUGCCAGCAAUCUUAAGCUGCAGACAAGUAUGGGAGAUCUUCUGCCUGAAGCAGAGGACAGAUCAGAGCCGGCUGGUGGCAUCUGCUUAGCAAAAUGAUGCUGAAUAGCCUAGAAAUAGCAUUUAAUGACUGCUAAUGGCAGCCACUGGUUCAGUGAUCGGAAUUAGCCAGAAACUCCACUUGAGAAUCACAAGAGGUUUCAAUGACAGCAGGUCUUUUCUUAACCUCUAACAUGAAGUUUCCACUGAAUACUCAGUCAGCCAAGCUAUUUAAAUACAUGCAAGUGCCCUAUAAAAGGAAAAAUUCUUGAUUCCUUCCGUUUUUCAACACAUCUCCAUCCUGCAUCCAGCAGGGCUAUGAGAGUCGGCCAACAACCAUUCAAGUCAUUCUACUGAGUGCUCGCUUUUACUGGAAGAUGCCACUUUAAUGUUUAACAAAACCAAUCUGAAAGAAAUCACCCAAUUUCAGACUUGAGCCUUAUUUUUACCUGGACUAUUGCUGGCAUCUUACCCAUAACCUGCAUCUUUUCCUACAUUUAUUUGGAAGAUUUGACGUUUUCCCCCCAAGAACACGUGAGAAAUCCGUUAGAGCAAUAAUUGGUUUUCCUAAAUCUACUCAUGGUAGGAUAUUGCAACUACACCCUAUAUAAAAUCCUCAAAUGAUUAACCUACCUUGACAGGUCUGCUCAAGUCCACAAAAAAAACAAUCUGCUCAAUAGGAUGGGUGUGUCAUUAAAAUCAGAAACCACACCUUGUCCUGAGAACAAACACCGCUAUGGUUCAGAUUGAGACAGCAAAGAUCAGAUGCUUACAGGUCGCCUUUAUUUACCUUCUAUUCAAAUUCACAUGUAUUGGCAUUGCCACUGUGUUGUAUGUGACAAACAGAAUGAACAGAGGCCAGGCAUGGCAGUCAGGGUUAUGGUGGCAGAUGGGAGGUAGGGCCUUCUAACAAACACAAAUAAGAGAGCAACUGUGAUGAAAAAUGCCGACCACCAAAACCAACCCCAAAGCUUUGUUUGAGAUGUGGUUCCCAUCACACCAAACAAAGGAAAGACUGUUCUAUCCAUCAAAUACGGCAAUUUUAGAGAGAAAGUGGUACUCAACUCCAAACAAGAUGCCUAUUGAUGUGCUGAGCAAAUAUUGGGGAUAAUGUUUCAUGAUGUGGUCCUUUUGAAUCUGACAGCAAAGUCCAGAAAAUCGGGACGCCAACUGCCGCUCUGUAGUUCCGACACAGAACGUCUGGCCCUCCCCACUACACCUAAGAUGGCUUUGCAAACAUCCACAAAGUAGAGUUUUAAAGUACAGCACGAUCUCCAGGCAUACAUCUGCUACUAUGGAAAGCGGAAAGGGGCGGCCAGUAGACUGCAAUCUUCCCAGGAAACUAGAACGUUCUAUUUUGACCAGACCCAUUCUUGAAAACAGCAAGCUUAGUGAAUGAUACUGGAGAAGAAAAUCCAGCCAGAGAGACCCAGCUGCAUCCGGGGCAUUUUCUAGCCUGUGUGUGCACUGAUGGCACCUCCUUUGUGGGACGGAGGUUCCUGGAGCGUGCAUCACCAUGUUGAGAAGAUGUUUCAGAGCCAAAAUAUUCCAAACAGACUGACACUCAGUCUGAUCAUUAAAAUCAGUACUAGACUAUAGUCUGGAGGUCCAAGUUCUAAUCAAUAAUCCCUGAAAAGGAGCUACUGUAUUGUACUAGAAUAAAUUCAGAUGAAAGGUGAAAGAUGAAAAA